UUAAAAGCUAUGAAGAGAAAAGUAGUAAAGCUAAAAUUAUUUACAGAGAGCUCCUGAAUGCUGAAAAAGGAGUAAUAAUCAACUUUAUGAAAAAAGACUUGGAGCUUCGUAUGGAACUAAAGUUCACUUUAGAGAUGGUACGACGGGUUCUCCCGUUAUAGAGAUAGGGUAUAUGCAUUCGUGCCGUACCUAAAUAAGGUUGGUAUGGUAACAUAUCAAUAAACUGGGGUGGUACCACGAAGUUAACAAACUCUCGUCCUCAAG
rnacentral:ncRNA from 1 species